UACAGGGGGUGCAAACGUUGCUCGGAAUUAUUGGGCGUAAAGCGCACGUAGGCGGUUUGUUAUGUCGGAUGUGAAAGCCCUUGGCUCAACUGAGGAAGUGCAUCCGAAACUGGCAAGCUAGAGUAUGUAAGAGGGUCGCGGAAUUCCCGGUGUAGAGGUGAAAUUCGUAGAUAUCGGGAGGAACACCGGUGGCGAAGGCGGCUCACUGGCCCGUAACUGACGCUGAGGUGCGAAAGCGUGGGGAGCAAACCGG
rnacentral:rRNA from 1 species